AUGAACGCUGGCGGCGUGCCUAACACAUGCACGUCGCGCGGCAGCGAGGGGUGCUUGCACCCUGUCGGCGAGCGGCGGACGGCUGAGUAACGCGUGGGAACGUGCCCCAAAGUGAGGAAUAACUGCCCGAAAGGGUAGCUAAUACCGCAUAUUAUCUUCGGAUCAAAGGAUUUAUCCGCUUUGGGAGCGGCUCGCGUCGGAUUAGGUAGUUGGUGAGGUAAUGGCUCACCAAGCCGACGAUCCGUAGCUGGUCUGAGAGGAUGACCAGCCAGACUGGAACUGAGACACGGUCCAGACUCCUACGGGAGGCAGCAGUGAGGAAUCUUCCACAAUGGGCGAAAGCCUGAUGGAGCAACGCCGCGUGCAGGACGAAGGCCUUCGGGUUGUAAACUGCUUUUAUAAGUGAGGAAUAUGACGGUAACUUAUGAAUAAGGAUCGGCUAACUACGUG
rnacentral:rRNA from 1 species